GCCCCGACCUGCAACUCUGUUCCUCUCCCAGACAUCACAGUUGUUUAAUGGCCAGCCUGUUGCCGCUGUCCCGAGCGCACAUUUGCAGGGCGCUUCCUUCCCGGACGUCGCAGGAUAGAUUGCAAGAGGGCCUGUGGUCCAGUGAGGACCCUGAUGCGGGGAAAUCUCUUUCUGCCCUUUCGUACUAGACAAGGCACGGGCUGGAGGUGAGCCGCAUUGGUUAGAAUCAGCAGGACAGGUGGCCACAUGAAGCCAGGGGCGGUCCAGGGCCGUGGGGUCCCAUCAGCUAGCUGAUGUUGGUGAGCACACAGCAAAAGGGAUGUAUAGACUGAAUAGACCGGAUCUGAGGACUUGUCUUCAUCAACGAAUAGGAAUAAUGAACACAUUGAAUUCUUCUCACGUGAUGAGUGGACACUGUUCUUAGCAUUGUUCUAAUGCUUCUCAUGCGUGUUCUAAACAUGCAUAAUCUAAUUUCAUGACAUUAUUCCUGAUUUUAUAGAUGAAGAAUCUGAGCCACUAAGAGAUGACAUCACUUGGCCAAGGUCACACAACUUCUGGGGCCAAUGUUCUGUUUUGCCUUUGUGAGGAAGAGGGAACACGCAUUGCACUUUUCUGCAGGAAAAACAAGCUGAUGUCAAGGAUUCUUUUAGAAAAGCAACUUUCAGGGCCAUUGCUGAGAUCACCACCCAUUCAGCAAAUGUCCCAAAUGCUGAAUGCACUUCUGUGUCUCAGCCCCGUGGCAUUACUGGUGUUCAUCACGACCGCCUUCGACUACCCAGGAAAGGUUAAUUUAUAUUUUGUAAGCUCUGCUUAAUGAGGCAGGGGGAGCGAGUAACGAGCUUUAAAAAGAUCUCUAUCAGAACCAAAUUACGGAAGUUAAGCAGUUAAAUGAAUUAACCCCUCCACCCGAAAAGCUCGGCUAACCCAGUGACGCUUUCUGGAGGAUCCUCAGCUUCAGACGUUGUCCCUUCUGGACGGACUCUGCUCACGGGCCACCGGUGUUGCCCCUUCAUCUGCACGUCAGGAAUGAGCAGUGUCUCACCAAGUACUCCCAGGAGAUGGCGGGGAUCACGCGGUCAAGUUCUCUUUCUUCCCCUGGCCUCGGUCUGAAAUUCCCCAAACGUUUGGGGCCCUGCAAUGCUGGGCAGCAGGCAGUUUCCCCAGCAGUUGCCCUGGCAUCUUGCCCCCUUCGCACAAAGCAAUCACUGUUGCAGAAAAUGAGGGUCCUGUGACCGUUUGGCACCAACCCCCGCCUGGCAUUCGCGUGGGAGAAGGAAAUGUCUGUCUCUCUGACAAUAGAUUCUGAUCACAACCCGGGCCCCUUUCAGAGAAACAGCUUCCCAUAGAAUGACUGCCUAGAGGAUACCAUAUGGCACCAUGUCUCCUGUGAUCCGUGAAGCUUUCUCUGUUGUUCCUUAUUUUCCACGACCUUGGCAUUUUUAGGUAUUUUAUUGAAUGUUCCCCGAUUUAGGCUUCUCUGAAGUUUUCUCAUGAUUAGACCCGAGUUAUGGAUUUUCUGGAGGUAUACCACAGAAGCAAAGUGCCCGUGCUCCACCCUAUAUCAGGAAAUGCUACGGAUUGGAAGUGAAUCACUAAGUCCAGCUUAUACUCAGAGGGAGGGAACUGAAACCCCACUCCCUGGAGGGGGGAGAAUCUACAUCUAUAAUUUGGAAUUCCUCUAUAAAGAUUUGUCUCUUCCCGGUAA